rnacentral:rRNA from 1 species
GACAGAGGGGGCAAGCGUUGUUCGGAAUUACUGGGCGUAAAGGGCGCGUAGGCGGCCCGCUAAGUCGAACGUGAAAUCCCCGGGCUCAACCCGGGAACUGCGUCCGAUACUGGUGGGCUUGAAUCCGGGAGAGGGAUGCGGAAUUCCAGGUGUAGCGGUGAAAUGCGUAGAUAUCUGGAGGAACACCGGUGGCGAAGGCGGCAUCCUGGACCGGCAUUGACGCUGAGGCACGAAGGUCAGGGGAGCAAACGGG